AUACGUAGGUCCCGAACGUUAUCCGGAAUCAUUGGGUUUAAAGGGUCCGUAGGCGGGAAUCUAAGUCAGUGGUGAAAUCUUGCAGCUUAACUGUAAAAUUGCCAUUGAUACUGGAUUUCUUGAAUUAGUGUGAAGUGAUUAGAAUGUGUAGUGUAGCGGUGAAAUGCAUAGAUAUUACACAGAAUACCAAUUGCGAAGGCAGAUCACUAACACUAUAUUGACGCUGAGGGACGAAAGCGUGGGGAGCGAACAGGAUUAGAAACCCCGGUAGUCC
rnacentral:rRNA from 1 species